AUACGGAGGGUGCGAGCGUUGUUCGGAAUUACUGGGCGUAAAGCGGGUGUAGGCGGUGGAUCAAGUCAGAUGUGAAAGCCCUCGGCUCAACCGAGGAAGUGCAUCUGAAACUGGUUCACUAGAGUACGGGAGAGGAGAGUGGAAUUCCCAGUGUAGAGGUGAAAUUCGUAGAUAUUGGGAGGAACACCGGUGGCGAAGGCGGCUCUCUGGAACGAUACUGACGCUGAGACCCGAAAGCGUGGGGAGCAAACAGGAUUAGAAACCCUAGUAGUCC
rnacentral:rRNA from 1 species